GAGUUUGAUCAUGGCUCAGAUUGAACGCUGGCGGCAGGCCUAACACAUGCAAGUCGAGCGGUAGCACAGAGAGCUUGCUCUCGGGUGACGAGCGGCGGACGGGUGAGUAAUGUCUGGGAAACUGCCUGAUGGAGGGGGAUAACUACUGGAAACGGUAGCUAAUACCGCAUAAUGUCGCAAGACCAAAGAGGGGGACCUUCGGGCCUCUUGCCAUCAGAUGUGCCCAGAUGGGAUUAGCUAGUAGGUGGGGUAACGGCUCACCUAGGCGACGAUCCCUAGCUGGUCUGAGAGGAUGACCAGCCACACUGGAACUGAGACACGGUCCAGACUCCUACGGGAGGCAGCAGUGGGGAAUAUUGCACAAUGGGCGCAAGCCUGAUGCAGCCAUGCCGCGUGUAUGAAGAAGGCCUUCGGGUUGUAAAGUACUUUCAGCGGGGAGGAAGGCGAUAAGGUUAAUAACCUUGUCGAUUGACGUUACCCGCAGAAGAAGCACCGGCUAACUCCGUGCCAGCAGCCGCGGUAAUACGGAGGGUGCAAGCGUUAAUCGGAAUUACUGGGCGUAAAGCGCACGCAGGCGGUCUGUCAAGUCGGAUGUGAAAUCCCCGGGCUCAACCUGGGAACUGCAUUCGAAACUGGCAGGCUAGAGUCUUGUAGAGGGGGGUAGAAUUCCAGGUGUAGCGGUGAAAUGCGUAGAGAUCUGGAGGAAUACCGGUGGCGAAGGCGGCCCCCUGGACAAAGACUGACGCUCAGGUGCGAAAGCGUGGGGAGCAAACAGGAUUAGAUACCCUGGUAGUCCACGCCGUAAACGAUGUCGACUUGGAGGUUGUGCCCUUGAGGCGUGGCUUCCGGAGCUAACGCGUUAAGUCGACCGCCUGGGGAGUACGGCCGCAAGGUUAAAACUCAAAUGAAUUGACGGGGGCCCGCACAAGCGGUGGAGCAUGUGGUUUAAUUCGAUGCAACGCGAAGAACCUUACCUACUCUUGACAUCCAGAGAACUUUCCAGAGAUGGAUUGGUGCCUUCGGGAACUCUGAGACAGGUGCUGCAUGGCUGUCGUCAGCUCGUGUUGUGAAAUGUUGGGUUAAGUCCCGCAACGAGCGCAACCCUUAUCCUUUGUUGCCAGCGGUUAGGCCGGGAACUCAAAGGAGACUGCCAGUGAUAAACUGGAGGAAGGUGGGGAUGACGUCAAGUCGUCAUGGCCCUUACGAGUAGGGCUACACACGUGCUACAAUGGCGCAUACAAAGAGAAGCGACCUCGCGAGAGCAAGCGGACCUCAUAAAGUGCGUCGUAGUCCGGAUUGGAGUCUGCAACUCGACUCCAUGAAGUCGGAAUCGCUAGUAAUCGUAGAUCAGAAUGCUACGGUGAAUACGU
rnacentral:rRNA from 1 species